rnacentral:lncRNA from 1 species
UCUUGGGUGAACUUGACUUUCCCUUAUCUUGCCAGUUGGCACUUUGCAUAAUAAUGCCUCUUUAUCAGAGUUUGUGUAAAGAUUCGAUGAGGUAGUACUCAGGGACUCCUUAUUCAUUUAGCAAAUUUCCUAAGAAUCUACUAUGUGCCAGGUGCUGUUCACACCACUGGGAUACAGUGGUGAACAAGACUGAUAUGGUCCUGCUCUUGCAGUUAUGUUCUAGUGGAUCUUGGACUCUAAUAUAAUUAUCUGAAUUUUUUGCCUGAAAAAGCUUCUUGUAAUUGCCUGAAUUUUUUUAAAUUGCAAUGAACAGAAAGCCAACUUGCUUAAGGAAUUGAUUAAGGAAUUGACUGGUUCCAAUGGUUCAGUGAGUGAUGAGGUAGCCCAUUGAAGCUGAGGAAGAGCUGUAGGGACCAGGAAUAAAUUCCAAACCACCACAACUGUAUCUGUCUCUUGUCCCUGUCUUGCUGCAGGUUGGCUUCCUUCUCUCCUGUUACAGAGAGGCCUUCCCAAUGUGAUGGGGAUAUGGCCACCAGCAGCCCCAGCUUAGCAACUCCAAAAAAGUACUUUCUGCUUUCAGCAUCUUCAUAGCAAUCCAGAGAAAUUUCCUCCAGACUCUGCUUGGGUCACCUUCCCACCUUUUGAGCUCAUUCAUCAUCAUUACUAAGAAGAUGGAGAAGCGUGAUUGGCCAGGCUUGGAUCAUGUGGCCAAUGGCUGGGUUCUACUGUGCACCGUAAUCAAUGGCUCUACCAGAAACAUAUGAAGAGAAUCAGGAAGGUUCCUCAAUAGGAGGGAAGCAAGGAGACAAAAACAGCAUAUGUCCCACCAUGAAAGGUACUUAACCUAAAGCCUGGGAGAUAGUAAAUGUGAUUAGGAGUAGCCCAAAGUUGUGAUUGUACUCAAUAAGCCCUGAGAGAAAACUCAGAUUUUCUUCAUCUGUUUUGCUUACUGGGGAAACUGAAGCUCAGAGAAGGAAAGGUUUAUCUUAGGAAUAAGUCUUCCUUAUCCAGUUGGUAAUCUCAGAUUUUCCCUUUUAACUAGCUGGUUUACCUGCAGUGAGCUACCACCUUCUGAGUUAAUUUAUCUCAUCCCCAGAUGGGGCCACCGAUAGCCACCCAGUGAUGCUUCCAAGGACACUGUAGGAUUAAGUAAUGCUGACUACAGCACACAAAUAUAAGGCAGAAAAUUAGUACUGGCAGCUGUGGCUGAGUCUGGUUCACAGAUGUUUUGUUUGGCUCAUCCAAUGUUUUUAAAGAGUUGAGCCAACAUUUAAUAAUUGGAAGAUUUUUACAUUAAAAAUGCAGAUUUCUGGCUUCUCUUGAAAAAAAAAAAAGUCAAGAAAUCUGACAACAUCAGAUCUGAAUUCCCACAUGGCAGCCAUCAGGUGGAACUGAAUAGCAACUGCCCCUUUGAACAAGGUACAAGUUCUCCAUUGCUCCAGUUCGCCACAGUCCCCACCACUCCUUAUUGUCCCUAACACUGAUGCCAAAGUGCAGCCAUCAUUUAUCACUGUGCUUGCCCUGUUGUUUUUUCCAUAGUAGGGAAAUACUUUCAUUUGUCUUCCAAAAUGGAAAAUCAAUAGAACUGAAGGAUCAGCAUUUCAGCUUGUGAGUAUUGUCAUAUAAGAUUAUUAUUUUUAAUAUGCCCUUAUUUCCCCACCAAGAGAACAAUAGUUGAGCAUGGCAAUAACCUUUCUGGACAUAAUAAUAGCAAGAAAUUUCCCAGUACUUACUAUAUGCCAGAUACCAUUUUAAGGACUUCACAUAUGGCAUUUCAGUGGCUCCUCAAAACAAUUCUAUAAAGUGGGUCCUAGUAGUACUCUCAUUUGUGAAUGAGGAGACUGGGGCACAGAGAGGUUAAGUAACUGGCCCAAGGUUAGCAUCACAGGGAUCCGAACCUAGGCUGACUCCAGAGUCGAGGCUCUCAACCAUUAACUCUACUAAGAUUGCUGGUGCUAGUGCCCAUGUGUGGGAGUGAACAGAGACAAGCACACUUGUGCGUAUUCACAUAUAUAAGCUAUAAGGCUGUGGGUUGUAAGGGUAAGGUCAGAGGAUGCCUGAAUAGAAAGGACCAGGAAUAUCGUGAGGUGAAGAACUGAAUUCUGCUCUGGUCUUAAUCAUGAGUCUUACUUCUCACUUGGGCCACUGCUCCAUCCUUUGAUCCUCAGUUUCCCAUCUCUAAAAUCAGGUGAAGGCUUUGGACUAGAUGAUCUAAAUUGCCUCCCAACUCUACUGUUCUGUGGUUUUCUGACUUUCUCCCCUUUCUUUCAAUCUGUUACCUGGAGAUGAACCAUGGCCAAGUCAAAGCCAUGUGCCAGCUUGGAAAAGGCAGGGAAGCUCUGUCCAAGCCUGCAUCUCCAUUUUAGGCUGUACCAGUGACCAGAGGGUACCAUUCACUAUGGGAGAGGGCUACCAUUGCAAAUUCUUAGCAGCUGGAGCCCCCUGAUAGGCUGCCAAACUUCCAGUGGCUUGCCAGCUUCUCCCUUGGGUUUCUCUUGGAAAACGGGAAGGUAUGUUCCUUAGCUGCUUGGCUCCUGCUUGCAGGGAAUGGCAAGAGUAAUGGCCCAGCAGUCUGGAUACCUGAGACUUAUUUCUAGCCCUUGCAGGUGACUUAACACCCCAUCAAUGCUCUUUAUUUCCUGUGUGACUUGCCCGCUUUGAAUUGAGUUUCCUCACUUACCUUGCUUUAUCAGUUUUAAAGUGCGCCACAAAAAGAAGAGAUGAUUGGCCUAUUUGCGCAGAAGCCAGUGUCCCCUGAAACUGUGAUUGGGACCAUGGACCACAUAGAGAGAGGUCUACAGAGUGAGGAAGGGUAAAACCAGAGGAGAUGGAACACCAGGCCCAUAGCUAGACCUUCUGGGAGAGAGAGCCUCCAGAAAAGCUGGAUUACUGGCAUCAACCCUCGAAGAGGGCAGACAAUCCCUCCUCCCCAACAUGUCCAUACUCUAAUCCAUAGUACCCGGGAUACAUUAGGUGAAGGUGGCAAAAGGGAUGUUACAAAGAUAAAGAUUACAAGCCUUAAAAUAGGAAGACCUCCUGAAUUACCCACAUGACCCAAACUAACCACAUGAGCCCUGGGCAGUGGGUUAAGACUCUGACUACAGGAGCUCAGGUCACUGCAGAGGUGUGGGUUCAACCCCCAGCCUGGCACAGUGGGUUAAAGGAUCUGAUAUUGCCA